rnacentral:rRNA from 1 species
GACGAACGCUGGCGGCGUGCCUAAUACAUGCAAGUAGAACGCUGAAGGAGGAGCUUGCUUCUCUGGAUGAGUUGCGAACGGGUGAGUAACGCGUAGGUAACCUGCCUGGUAGCGGGGGAUAACUAUUGGAAACGAUAGCUAAUACCGCAUAAGAGUAGAUGUUGCAUGACAUUUGCUUAAAAGGUGCAAUUGCUUCACUACCAGAUGGACCUGCGUUGUAUUAGCUAGUUGGUGGGGUAACGGCGUACCACGGCGACGAUACAUAGCCGACCUGAGAGGGGGGGCGGCCACACUGAGACUGAGACACGGCCCAGACUCCUACGGGAGGCAGCAGGAGGGAAGCUUCGGCAAUGGACGGAAGUCUGACCGAGCAACGCCGCGUGAGUGAAGAAGGGUUUCGGAUCGUAAAGCUCUGUUGUAAGAGAAGAAAGAGGGUGAGAGUGGAAAGUUCACACUGUGACGGUAGCUGACCAGAAAGAGACGGCUAACUACGUG